rnacentral:rRNA from 1 species
CCUACGGGGUGCUGCAGUGGGGAAUAUUGGACAAUGGGCGAAAGCCUGAUCCAGCCAUGCCGCGUGUGUGAAGAAGGCCUUCGGGUUGUAAAGCACUUUCAGUGGGGAAGAAAGCCUUGGGGCUAAUACCCUCGAGGAAGGACAUCACCCACAGAAGAAGCACCGGCUAACUCCGUGCCAGCAGCCGCGGUAAUACGGAGGGUGCGAGCGUUAAUCGGAAUUACUGGGCGUAAAGCGCGCGUAGGCGGUCUGAUAAGCCGGUUGUGAAAGCCCCGGGCUCAACCUGGGAACGGCAUCCGGAACUGUCAGGCUAGAGUGCAGGAGAGGAAGGUAGAAUUCCCGGUGUAGCGGUGAAAUGCGUAGAGAUCGGGAGGAAUAUCAGUGGCGAAGGCGGCCUUCUGGACUGACACUGACGCUGAGGUGCGAAAGCGUGGGUAGCAAACAGGAUUAGAUACCCCGGUAGUC